rnacentral:rRNA from 1 species
CCUGGUGGCGAGUGGCGAACGGGUGAGUAAUAUAUCGGAACGUGCCCUAGAGUGGGGGAUAGCUCGGCGAAAGCCGGAUUAAUACCGCAUACGAUCUAAGGAUGAAAGUGGGGGAUCGCAAGACCUCAUGCUCGUGGAGCGGCCGAUAUCUGAUUAGCUAGUUGGUAGGGUAAAAGCCUACCAAGGCAUCGAUCAGUAGCUGGUCUGAGAGGACGACCAGCCACACUGGAACUGAGACACGGUCCAGACUCC